CUGGCGGCGUGCCUAAUACAUGCAAAGUCGAACGCACUCUCGUUUAGAUUGAAGGAGCUUGCUCCUGAUUGAUAAACAUUUGAGUGAGUGGCGGACGGGUGAGUAACACGUGGGUAACCUGCCCUAAGUGGGGGAUAACAUUUGGAAACAGAUGCUAAUACCGCAUAAAACCUAACACCGCAUGGUGUAGGGUUGAAAGAUGGUUUCGGCUAUCACUUUAGGAUGGACCCGCGGUGCAUUAGUUAGUUGGUGAGGUAAAGGCUCACCAAGACCGUGAUGCAUAGCCGACCUGAGAGGGUAAUCGGCCACACUGGGACUGAGACACGGCCCAGACUCCUAUGGGAGGCAGCAGUAGGGAAUCUUCCACAAUGGACGAAAGUCUGAUGGAGCAACGCCGCGUGAGUGAAGAAGGUUUUCGGAUCGUAAAACUCUGUUGUUGGAGAAGAAUGUAUCUGAUAGUAACUGAUCAGGUAGUGACGGUAUCCAACCAGAAAGCCACGGCUAACUACGUG
rnacentral:rRNA from 1 species